rnacentral:tRNA from 1 species
AGCUCCGGGGUGUGACACGUCAGAUUGCAAAUCUGAAGAUGCGGGGUAAGACCCCGCCGGGGCUU